rnacentral:rRNA from 1 species
AGCGUACACGGUGGAUGCCCUGGCAGUCAGAGGCGAUGAAGGACGUGCUAAUCUGCGAAAAGCGUCGGUAAGGUGAUAUGAACCGUUAUAACCGGCGAUGUCCGAAUGGGGAAACCCAGUGUGAUUCGUCACACUAUCGUUAACUGAAUACAUAGGUUAACGAGGCGAACCGGGGGAACUGAAACAUCUAAGUACCCCGAGGAAAAGAAAUCAACCGAGAUUCCCCCAGUAGCGGCGAGCGAACGGGGAGCAGCCCAGAGUCUGAAUCAGCUUGUGUGUUAGUGGAACGGUCUGGAAAGUCCGACGGUACAGGGUGAUAGUCCCGUACACCAAAAUGCACAGGUUGUGAACUCGAAGAGUAGGGCGGGACACGUGGUAUCCUGUCUGAAUAUGGGGGGACCAUCCUCCAAGGCUAAAUACUCCUGACUGACCGAUAGUGAACCAGUACCGUGAGGGAAAGGCGAAAAGAACCCCGGCGAGGGGAGUGAAAAAGAACCUGAAACCGUGUACGUACAAGCAGUGGGAGCACCUUCGGGUGUGACUGCGUACCUUUUGUAUAAUGGGUCAGCGACUUAUAUUCUGUAGCAAGGUUAACCGUAUAGGGGAGCCGCAGGGAAACCGAGUCUUAACUGGGCGUUAAGUUGCAGGGUAUAGACCCGAAACCCGGUGAUCUAGCCAUGGGCAGGUUGAAGGUUGGGUAACACUAACUGGAGGACCGAACCGACUAAUGUUGAAAAAUUAGCGGAUGACUUGUGGCUGGGGGUGAAAGGCCAAUCAAACCGGGAGAUAGCUGGUUCUCCCCGAAAGCUAUUUAGGUAGCGCCUCGUGAACUCAUCUUCGGGGGUAGAGCACUGUUUCGGCUAGGGGGUCAUCCCGACUUACCAACCCGAUGCAAACUACGAAUACCGAAGAAUGUUAUCACGGGAGACACACGGCGGGUGCUAACGUCCGUCGUGAAGAGGGAAACAACCCAGACCGCCAGCUAAGGUCCCAAAGUCAUGGUUAAGUGGGAAACGAUGUGGGAAGGCACAGACAGCCAGGAUGUUGGCUUAGAAGCAGCCAUCAUUUAAAGAAAGCGUAAUAGCUCACUGGUCGAGUCGGCCUGCGCGGAAGAUGUAACGGGGCUAAACCAUGCACCGAAGCUGCGGCAGCGACACUAUGUGUUGUUGGGUAGGGGAGCGUUCUGUAAGCCUGCGAAGGUGACCUGUGAGGGUUGCUGGAGGUAUCAGAAGUGCGAAUGCUGACAUAAGUAACGAUAAAGCGGGUGAAAAGCCCGCUCGCCGGAAGACCAAGGGUUCCUGUCCAACGUUAAUCGGGGCAGGGUGAGUCGACCCCUAAGGCGAGGCCGAAAGGCGUAGUCGAUGGGAAACAGGUUAAUAUUCCUGUACUUGGUGUUACUGCGAAGGGGGGACGGAGAAGGCUAUGUUAGCCGGGCGACGGUUGUCCCGGUUUAAGCAUGUAGGCUGAUUGUCCAGGCAAAUCCGGAUAAUCAAGGCUGAGGUGUGAUGACGAGGCACUACGGUGCUGAAGUAACAAAUGCCCUGCUUCCAGGAAAAGCCUCUAAGCAUCAGGUAACAUCAAAUCGUACCCCAAACCGACACAGGUGGUCAGGUAGAGAAUACCAAGGCGCUUGAGAGAACUCGGGUGAAGGAACUAGGCAAAAUGGUGCCGUAACUUCGGGAGAAGGCACGCUGGUGUGUAGGUGAAGUCCCUGCGGAUGGAGCUGAGACCAGUCGAAGAUACCAGCUGGCUGCAACUGUUUAUUAAAAACACAGCACUGUGCAAACACGAAAGUGGACGUAUACGGUGUGACGCCUGCCCGGUGCCGGAAGGUUAAUUGAUGGGGUUAUCCGUAAGGAGAAGCUCUUGAUCGAAGCCCCGGUAAACGGCGGCCGUAACUAUAACGGUCCUAAGGUAGCGAAAUUCCUUGUCGGGUAAGUUCCGACCUGCACGAAUGGCGUAAUGAUGGCCAGGCUGUCUCCACCCGAGACUCAGUGAAAUUGAACUCGCUGUGAAGAUGCAGUGUACCCGCGGCAAGACGGAAAGACCCCGUGAACCUUUACUAUAGCUUGACACUGAACAUUGAGCCUUGAUGUGUAGGAUAGGUGGGAGGCUUUGAAGCGUGGACGCCAGUCUGCGUGGAGCCAACCUUGAAAUACCACCCUUUAAUGUUUGAUGUUCUAACGUUGGCCCCUUACCGGGGUUGCGGACAGUGUCUGGUGGGUAGUUUGACUGGGGCGGUCUCCUCCCAAAGCGUAACGGAGGAGCACGAAGGUUAGCUAAUCCUGGUCGGACAUCAGGAGGUUAGUGCAAUGGCAUAAGCUAGCUUGACUGCGAGCGUGACGGCGCGAGCAGGUGCGAAAGCAGGUCAUAGUGAUCCGGUGGUUCUGAAUGGAAGGGCCAUCGCUCAACGGAUAAAAGGUACUCCGGGGAUAACAGGCUGAUACCGCCCAAGAGUUCAUAUCGACGGCGGUGUUUGGCACCUCGAUGUCGGCUCAUCACAUCCUGGGGCUGAAGUAGGUCCCAAGGGUAUGGCUGUUCGCCAUUUAAAGUGGUACGCGAGCUGGGUUUAGAACGUCGUGAGACAGUUCGGUCCCUAUCUGCCGUGGGCGCUGGAGAAUUGAGGGGGGCUGCUCCUAGUACGAGAGGACCGGAGUGGACGCAUCACUGGUGUUCGGGUUGUCAUGCCAAUGGCACUGCCCGGUAGCUAAAUGCGGAAGAGAUAAGUGCUGAAAGCAUCUAAGCACGAAACUUGCCCCGAGAUGAGUUCU